rnacentral:rRNA from 1 species
UACAGAGGCCUCAAGCGUUAUCCGGAAUUAUUGGGCGUAAAGGGUGCGUAGGUGGUUGUGUUAGUCGAGUGUCAAAAAUCCAGGCUUAACCUGGGGGCGGCAUUCGAAACGGCACGACUAGAGUUGAUGAGAGGUGUGCAGAACUCAUGGAGUAGGGGUGAAAUCCGUUGAUCUCAUGGGGAAUACCAAAUGCGAAGGCAGCACACUGGCGUCACACUGACACUGAGGCACGAAAGCGUGGGUAGCGAAU